GUGGGGAAUUUUGGACAAUGGGCGAAAGCCUGAUCCAGCCAUGCCGCGUGCAGGAUGAAGGCCUUCGGGUUGUAAACUGCUUUUGUACGGAACGAAAAGACUCCUUCUAAUAAAGGGGGUCCAUGACGGUACCGUAAGAAUAAGCACCGGCUAACUACGUGCCAGCAGCCGCGGUAAUACGUAGGGUGCAAGCGUUAAUCGGAAUUACUGGGCGUAAAGCGUGCGCAAGCGGUUAUAUAAGACAGAUGUGAAAUCCCCGGGCUCAACCUGGGAACUGCAUUUGUGACUGUAUAGCUAGAGUACGGUAGAGGGGGAUGGAAGUCCGCGUGUAGCAGUGAAAUGCGUAGAUAUGCGGAGGAACACCGAUGGCGAAGGCAAUCCCCUGGACCUGUACUGACGCUCAUGCACGAAAGCGUGGGGAGCAAACAGGAUUAGAAACCCCAGUAGUCC
rnacentral:rRNA from 1 species